UUACUAGUAUUAUAAACUAAUCUAUUAUUAACUCUUAUUUUGUUGUUUUCUUCAUCAAUAAAUAUCAACGCCAAUACUACUUUCAAAUUUGCGCAUAGUAAAAUAUCACGUGAUAAUAAUAAUGCUUGUACACGAUUGAUGGUUAUAAAGUGUUUAAACAAAUACGCUAUUAUUUAAAUAUUUAUAACAAAUGAUGUGGUCCCUAAUAACAAGAAUUGUGCAUAGAAAUAUACCAUACAUAGCACUUCCAUUUGGUUGUGUUAUCGGUUUUAUUGGAUACCAUAUAGAAGGAUUGAUAUCCAAUAAAUAUACACCUGCAACUGCUCCUGUUAAUCAACAACGUCAAGAGAGAUUAUUAGAAAAUAUAGAUUCUAUGUCUACUAAAAAACAUAAUCCUUUAGAUGUUAAUCUUUCACCUUCGCUUUCUAACUGAUGUAUAUAUGAAACAAAUUUAAGUAUUCAUAUAUUUCUUAAUCGUUUUAAUGCUGAUAAUUUAAUGUGCAUUAUGUAAUAUAUAUGUAUAAAUAUAAUAGUACAA